rnacentral:rRNA from 1 species
AAUUGACGGGGCCCGCACAAGCGGUGAGCAUGUGGUUUAAUUCGAUGCAACGCGAAGAACCUUACCUGGGCUUGACAUCCCGGGAAUCCCUUGGAAACAAGGGAGUGCCCUUCGGGGAACCUGGAGACAGGUGCUGCAUGGCUGUCGUCAGCUCGUGUCGUGAGAUGUUCGGUUAAGUCCGCUAACGAGCGCAACCCUCGCUGUGUGUUACAAGUGUCACACGGUACUGCCGAUAUUAAGUCGGAGGAAGGUGGGGAUGACGUCAAGUCAGCAUGACCUUUAUAUCCAGGGCUACACGCACGCUACAAUGGCCAGUACAAUGGGUUGCCAAGCCGCGAGGCGGGGCCAAUCCUAAAAAGCUGGCCUCAGUUCAGAUUGCAGUCUGCAACUCGACUGCAUGAAGUUGGAGUUGCUAGUAACCGCAGGUCAGCAAUACUGCGGUGAAUACGUUCCCGGGGAUU